rnacentral:misc_RNA from 1 species
GACAAGAUCAAGCGUCUCUUCGACACCGAGGAGAAGGACACCAACGUUGUCAUCCUUACCUCCAUGGGCGAGCAGGCCGCCGUUGAGGCCAAGGAGGCUCCCCGCCAGGGUUAAGCCGCCUGCUUGAUUGCAGGAUCUGCGGAGACGACCUUGGUUGAUUAGCACGAACGACUACACAUCUCGAUCCGAGACGCAUAUCAGCUGCACGAGGUGGAUAUCUUCGG